CACGUAGGCGGACUUGUCAGUCAGGGGUGAAAUCCCGGGGCUCAACCUCGGAACUGCCUCUGAUACAGCAAGUCUUGAGUCCGGAAGAGGUGGGUGGAAUUCCUAGUGUAGAGGUGAAAUUCGUAGAUAUUAGGAAGAACACCGGUGGCGAAGGCGGCCCACUGGUCCGGUACUGACGCUGAGGUGCGAAAGCGUGGGGAGCAAACA
rnacentral:rRNA from 1 species